AAUCAACGCUGGCGGCGUGCCUCAGACAUGCAAGUCGAACGAUUAAAGCUCUCUUCGGAGAGUGUAUAGAGUGGCGCACGGGUGAGUAACACGUAAGUAAUCUACCCUCGAGUGGGGAAUAACAACCGGAAACGGUUGCUAAUACCGCAUAAUGCAGCGGCACCGCAAGGUGACAGUUGUUAAAGAUUUAUCGCUUGAGGAGGAGCUUGCGGCAGAUUAGCUAGUUGGUAGGGUAACGGCUUACCAAGGCUACGAUCUGUAACCGGUCUAAGAGGACGGUCGGUCACACUGACACUGAAUAACGGGUCAGACUCCUACGGGAGGCAGCAGUCGGGAAUUUUGGGCAAUGGGCGAAAGCCUGACCCAGCAACGCCGCGUGAAGGAUGAAGUAUUUCGGUAUGUAAACUUCGAAAGAAUAGGAAGAAUUAAUGACGGUACUAUUUAUAAGGUCCGGCUAACUACGUGCCAGCAGCCGCGGUAAGGUGACGCUCU
rnacentral:rRNA from 1 species